GAUAAUCCACAAAAUUCUGCAGGUAGAGUGAUUGAGAAAACCCCGCUAAAUGAAAAUAUUUUGAGAAAACAACAAUCACACUUUAAUAUUUGUACCCAACUGCCUAAAAUUUAAGAUUAUCAAGAACUUACUGAUAAUCCAUACGGAAAACAGGCUACAGAAACAUAUUUUUGUUUAUCCUUUUAUUUUGUCUUCGUUCCCUUGUGGGGGGAGGGGGGUUGUUGGUUUUUUCCAUGACUUAAAUAGUGGCACAAUUAUCUAUUUUCUCAAAUUUUUCCAUAUUUGAUGUCUAAAAAAACUGUAGAAAAUUAAAAAUAUAUUAUUUAUGUUAUUCCUCAUUAUUAGCAUUUAUUACUUAACCCGAAACAUUGCAAAUGAGACGUUAUCAAUCAUACUGCAAAAUAAGGGGUGCUAAGAAACGUUGCUAAAGGGUUGUAUCUCAGCUUUAUAAUUCUUAAUUUCUUAUUUAAAGUUGCUUUUUAUCUGCUUUCCCUUGCUCAUGUUAACCGUCAAGAGGAAGAAAGAAGGCCCGAUAGAGAAGGCCAGGUAUUCUAAUCAUGAAUUAAUUAUCUUUAAUUAUCUUUAAUGUUCGUUGUUGGAUAAAUCAAGUAAAGGGUGUAGAUUUACAUUUACAUUUGAUUCAGAAUUGAUCUGGGUUGGCUUCUGUAAUUUCAAACCAUACAUGACCGGCAUUGGAGGAAGUUUGGUUCUUCUAUCGUUGAAUGAAGCACACUACUUCCAUGCGUAGCCAGAAAGUUCUUUUCUUUUCCAGAGUAAUAUGCAGA
rnacentral:lncRNA from 1 species